CUUUAUUUUUAGAGUAGUUUUAUGUCCACAGCCAAGCUGAGUUGCAUAUGCCUUCUGCCCCAGCACGGGUGCUGCUUCCUGGACUCUCACAACCUGCUCCAUUGUGAUACUUUUGUUACCAUAGGUAAACCAACAUUGACAUGUCAUUAUCAACCAGUCAAAAGCUUGCAUUAGGGCCUUCUUGUUUGUUCUUAAUAUAGCAAGGAAUUAACACUGAGACUCACAGGUAUGGGGAGCCUAUACAGUUUCUCAGAGGAAAGUGGCACCAUUGGAUAAUUGUUGUGCAUGAGAGGUUCACUAGUUCUCUGGCAGAUUCUCCUUGUCUGACAAGAAAUCUGUCCUCAUCUUUGGAAGUUUAUUUGGUCAAGGUGCCACAGACAUCACCCUUGCCCAGCGAAGUGCAAAACAACAUUUAAACUGGUCUGAUAGCCACCCAUCUUCCUCAUCCCAUCCACCCUGAAUCCAGACCCUGGUUAAUUGAAAAGCAUCACUUUCUCUGUAUUUCUCAAACAUAUUCAAUAACUCCAGCAGUGGUUUUCCAAUACCAUCAUCCAUAGAGCCCGUUUGGUGAUGGCAAUUGAAUAUCAGUUCUGACAUACAUCCAAACUAAAAAUCUCAACUUCUUUUAAAGAGUAUUGGGUUCUGUGAUGAGCUAGAAGUGAAAUGUCCAGUCUAAAUGGGCUAGCAACGACUCAGCUCCAGAGGUUUGUUGCCAUGUGUCCCCAUUUUUAAGGAAAACAGAAUAAACCUGAUAUGUAUUAGAAAUCUAAUUUUGUUUUCAAGUUAACAACUAUAGUAGACUGCAAAACAUGGCCACACAUUCCUUCCAUCCCUGUGUGUACACCCUUUGCAAUGUGAUGUUGCUGAUUCCCCUCAAGUGAAGUCUAUGAUUCUGCACACUCAUAAGGAGUAAUAUUUGCAACUUUGAACCAAGACCCCAAGAGACCUUGCAGCUUUGGUUUUGACCCUCUCAGAAUUCUCUGUCUUCAUGUAAAAGGAGCCCAGGAUAGCUCGAAAGAGGAUGAGACCCUAUGUGAAAGAGGUCACAUAGUCACAGAAAAGCAAAGUCAUCCCAGUCAGCCUUACCAGCUGACCCAGCUGAGGCCUCUGAUGUGGAAGCUAGGACCAAAUAGCUGCCCAGUGAAUGCAGCUGAACGAGUGUGCCCAGGUGAUAUCAGAAAAGAACCACCAGGAAAAAACACAAAACUGUGAGGAAAAGUCAGUCAUUAUUGUGUUAAGCCACUGAGUUGAGAUGACUUAUUACAUAGCAAUAAAUAACAGAGAAAUCAUUAAAACACCUUGACAACCAAACAAAUGCCUCACAUGGCCAGCUAGUUACCUCUCAAGUGUGAACCCCUCGAGGACAGGAAGUGAUCUUAUUGAUUUUCGUAUUCCCAGUGCCUAUCAUUGGCUGGUAACUUAAUAUUGAAUAAAUCCUUUGUGAACAAACUAAUGUAGCCACAUGACACUGAGGACAAGCGACAACAUCUUUAAGGAUAGGGGAUUGACUCACAUGCCUUUCUGAUGCCAACAGAAAUCAAUAUUUCCCCCUGCAGUUCUAUAAUCCUGUAUUAGAGUUCUCCAAAAACCAAAAUCAAUAGAAGAUAGAGAUGAGAGGGAGAAAGAGAGAGAGAGAGGCAGCUACUGAAACUUUUCAUGGGAAUCAGCACACGUCAUUAUGGAGACUAAGCAGUCCCAUGAUCUCCCAUCUGCAAGCUGGAGAACCAGGAAAGCCAGUGGUGUCAUACAGGCCAAGUUCCAAGAAUCAAGAACCAGGAGCUCUGAUGUCUGAGGGCAGAAGAAGGUGGGUCCUGGCUGAAACAGAGAAUUUGCUCUACCUUCCCCUUUUGUUCUUUUCAGGUCCUCCAUGGAUUAGGUUAUGGCCACCCACAUUGAUGAGAGCAGAUUUUCAUUAGCCACUCUCUUGAUUCAAAUGUUAAUCUCUUCCAGAUACACCCUCACAAAUAGAGGCACCCAGAAACAUUUUAGCAGCUAUCUGGGCAUCCUUGGCCCAGUCAAGUGGACACAUGAAGUUAAACAACCACAAAUUCUCAUAAAAAGACAGUCUGUUCAAUUAAGUAGUAGUUCUAAUUGAAUGACAAAAUGGAUGGCUAAUUGAGUAGAUGGGAAUUUUGGUGACAGUGGGCUAGAUCUGAGAAGAAAAAGAGAAGGUCAUCCUAACCAGAUACAGCCUCCAAGAGACCAUGGGGGUUUCUGAUGUAGACACGAAGUGAGGUAUAAUAAGAUCCACCCCAAAUUGGGAAACUACCAAACCAGGCAAGACUAUGAGCAGUAGCUAAUGGGAUGUUAAGUCAGGAUGUGAUAGAAUUUUCAGAAUAAAGAAAACAAUACAAAAACAACCCAAAAUGGAAUUGAAAUUUAUCUCCUCUGCCUUGAAAAACCUUUUAUGUUCUAUUCCAUCACACAUGUGAAUGGAGCUGGGGAAGGGGUCAGUGGAGACUAAAAGCAAAUUCUACCCCUAUUCUACAUACACCCAGUCACUAUUCCCCUUCUCUCACUCAAUCUUUUUAGGUAAGGCCUGGGUGGUUGGAAUUGGUUAUCCUGUAUCUGGCAACCCCAAGAGGGAAAAUAAACAGUAUCCAAACAGAAGCAUGAAUCCUAGGACCUUUGAUUAAAAGUCUGAAGUUCAUUCUCUGGGCUGUCUGACUGCCUCAUUUGAAGGCUGCCCUGGAUGUUUACUUUUAAUUUGAUUUCACCCAUGUGAUAAGGAAUCAGCUGCAAUGUGGUGAAAGGGGUCAUUGAACCUGGAGUUAGGAGAUAGGGCUUCAAAUCCCAGUUCUGUCCUUAGCAAACUGUGUGACUCCAGACUUUACUUAAGUCCUCUGUGCCUCAGUUUCCUCAUCUUGGAGACCAACUGCCCAAGAUCUUUGGGAGACAAUUAAAUGAGAUGAGCUAUGGAUGUAAAGGGCUUGUUGAGGUGGCUGGAACAGAGUGAAUCUUCCUUAAGUGUUAUGUCCUUCUGCCACUGCCUUAGUCUUGCUUUGGAAUGGCAGCAUUUCAGUCAGAACACGUAAAGCACUCCCCUACUGCGCAUCACAACAGUGGCAGCUUUUGUGAUUAGCUGCACAAGGAGGUACAGAGUCAUAAGCCCUGCCUCUGCUCUUCAGGACUUUGAAACUAGCAGAGGAAACCGGGAGACUUCCCUAAAAAUACAAUUAAUGAUGCAAAUCUAUGCUUAUUAAGGGCCAAAAGACUAAUGAUUCUGAGAAAGAGGAACCACUCUGCGUGGGUGGUCUGAGAAAAUGCAGGAGGACAUGACAUGGACUGUGAAGUUCACACAGGAACAGAGAGUUUCUUUUUCUCAUCUUUCUCAGAUGCUGUUUCACUGCCUACCCCUCCUCCACCUUGUCACUGCUGCCGCCUGGUGUCAGUCACCUUCCUAGCACCUAUCUGGGUGAUAACCUCUGAGGCAGUCUAGGAGGAGAGGAGCAACACCCAGCACAGGAACCCACCAAGCAGGACUUGAAGCUGAGCCAGGUCCCACUGGGAAGAAGGGGUCUCUCCCCUCCAGAUUCCCCUGCCGCCGCCAGCAACUGCCUGGCUGGAGGGAAGGAAAGAAACCAAGGAGAUUUACUGUGCUGCAAAAACUCUGCAUCCUGUGACACGACACGUGCAAACAGACACGGGGCUGCACCCUCCCAGGCGAAGGUCUGUGCACAGCAGACGUGGGGCUAGUGUCACAGAUCCAAGGCUUUAGAACGGCUUGCUCUGCCCCCUGCCAGAGCCCCAGCUUCUCUCUCUUGUGGGCUGCUUCCCUUCAACAGAGAUGUAUACUCAGAUCUUCUCACAUAACAAAAGCUAAAAUCCCAAUGCUUUUCAAGAUUCAGGGUUAGGUGUUUAAUAGAAUGUCCCCCCAGGUGGGGUUUGUCUGAUGUUUUUUUCAUGAAAAGACUAAGUUUAUGGAUUUGGGGAAGAGGGCCACAGAGGUGAUGUGCCCUUCUCAUUAAGGCACAUCAGGAGGCACGUGAUGUCAGCAUAACUCAUUGCCCAUGAUGUUAACCUUGACCAUCUAUCUCAGUAAGGCACCGUUUGUGAGGUUUCUGUACUGAAAAUUUGAUAUAUUCCCUUCCCAUACUCUGUUUAUGAGAAGCAAGAGAAAUUAAUUUCCACCUCCUGGAGAAAGGGGUAUCAAAUAAUUUAUGCAGUGUGUUAAAAUCACCCAGUAAGUAGUAGGUGUAGGGUAGACCGUUGAGGGUUUUUCAAAUAUCCUGUUCUUCCUUAAAGCUUCAUUUACUGAUCUAGCAUUCAUCAAUGAAUCUUGCUUAUAGCAAUCAUGAUUGUGAUGGCCUAACAGUGAUUUUCUACUUCCUUCAUGCCUUCUACAUUGACUUCUGAAUUCUUCUGCAAGGAAGAUUUGUCCCUCCUCCCCCAUUUAGUUAUGUAUUUAAUCAUUUAUUUAUAUCCAUAUGGAUUUAUAAACAUCUAUUUUAUUCUUAGAGUUAUAAUUCAAUAUUAUUAUUGUUUAUUACACUGCUUUAAUUGUUUCAGCUUGGCCAUUGGGAGCUCCUUCAUUUUGGCUCAUGUGGCCUUUUUAUAUGCUCCCCUCCCCUUUUUUUUUCUUUUUUUAGUAUUUUCUUAUUUUAUGGUACUUCAAGUUGCUUCAGGAUCAUCUUGUAUGUUCCCUGCCUCUAGUAGUCCAUCUUUUGUUACUAUUAUGAAAUAGUUUUGUAAAGAAACAAGUUCAUUUAGCUUAUAGUUUGGGAGGUCUAAAGUCCAAGAUCAGCUGGUCCAGCCUCUGGUAAGACCUCAUGGUAACAACACACUUGAGAGGGCAGGCCUCGAAACAGGAGAUCAGAAAGGUUGGGCCCCACAGUCCCAUUAGAGGACAUGUCCCCGUUGAGAGCCUCCCACUAGGACCCACUUCUAAAAGAUUCCACAUCACCCACACUGAGGACCAAGUCUCUAACACAUGAGCUUUGGGAAACACACCUAAACCAUAUACAAACCAUAGCACUGCCCCAGUUCACGAAUUAGCCACUUUUCCAAGGAAGCUUAGUCCAUUUUAUUGGGAAACCAAGGUCUGAAGUGUUAAGUGUGCCUGAUGCUAAUGGAGCGUGACACUUAUAUCAGGCCCUCAUGGCAGACAAAGCUAGCAAAACUAAAUACACACACACACACACACACAGAGUACAACAUAUCUAUAUUUAUCUCUGCAUCUGUUUGAAUGUGCAUAUACACACAUACACCCACAUAUAUAGAAUCUGUGGAUUAUAAAUCUAUGUAUACAGAUCUGUGUCUAUUUAAAUCUAUUACACAUAUAAUAUCAUGUGCGUAUGUCUGUAUUUAAAGGGAACAUGAGCUCAUACUGAUGUCUACAACUCAAAACCAGCUACACAGGUUUCCUUCUAGCCUCCCCAUCCCACCACCAUAACAACCUCCCUCUUUCUCUGACUGUGAGAAACUUGCCUCCCAUUGUAUACAAUUUACCUACUUAUUUAUUCAACACCAGUAUACACAUAAAGUAAUUUCAUUAUCACUACCUAUAACCCAGGACAAAUUUACAAUUGUUUACUUAUGAGUCUUUAUUCCUACAGUAUCUGGUUAAAACAUUGUCUUCCAAAAUUAUUUAUUUCAACUCCUCCCACCAGACAAUACCAUCAGCCAUAUAUAUAGUUCCAUAUAUGUGGUAUAGUUAGAUUCACAUGUUACAUAUGUUAAAUGUUAAUUUUAUCCUGGAAUUGAAUGAUUCUAUAUACUGUUAAGUUCAGUCUUUAUAGAGUUCUGUGGGUUUCAACAGUUUCUUAGUCUUGUGUUCAUUACUCUGGUACCUUACAGAACCGAUCUAUUGCCCUACAAGUUCCCAUGUGCUGUCCAUUUGUGGUCAACCACUUACUGUUCCCUAACUACUUCCCUGAAAAACCACUGAUCUAUUUUCUAUCAUUUUCCCUUUUCAAGAAUGACAUAUAAUAAAACCACACCAAUUGUGACCAUUCAAUCUUGGAUAUUUCCAUAUUUAAUAUAUCUAUUUUGUUUUUAUGAUUCAAUAGUUCAUUUGUGUGUGUGUGUGUGUGUGUGUGUGUGGUACUGGGGGUUGAAACCAGAAGCAUUCUACCUCCAAGCUACAUCUCCAGCCCUUUUUUAUUUUAUUUAGAGACAGGGUCUUGCUAAGUUGCUGAGGCUGGACUUAAACUCAUGAUCUUCCUGAAUCGGCCUUCCAAGUAACUGGGAUUAUAGGUAUGUGCCUCCAUGCCCAGCAAAUCUAUUCAUUUUUUAUUGCUAAAUAAUGUUCCAUUAUAUGGAUAUACCACAGGUUUUCUGCUUAUUAACAGAAGAACAUCUUGAUUGUUUUUAGUUUUCAGUGAUUGUGAGUAAAACUAUAAAUCUAUAAAUCUUUGAGAACAAUCUUCUGUGUGAGUGUAAAUUCUUGAUUAACUGGGGAAAAUAUCUAAAGGAGAUAUUGCUGAUGGUAUUGUCUGGUAAGCCUAUGUUUAAU
rnacentral:lncRNA from 1 species